GACGAACGCUGGCGGCGUGCUUAACACAUGCAAGUCGAACGGUAAGGCCUUCGGGUACACGAGUGGCGAACGGGUGAGUAACACGUGGGUGAUCUGCCCUGCACUUCGGGAUAAGCCUGGGAAACUGGGUCUAAUACCGGAUAGGACUCCGGACUGCAUGGUCUGGGGUGGAAAGCUUUUGCGGUGUGGGAUGGGCCCGCGGCCUAUCAGCUGGUUGGUGGGGUGAUGGCCUACCAAGGCGACGACGGGUAGCCGGCCUGAGAGGGUGACCGGCCACACUGGGACUGAGAUACGGCCCAGACUCCUACGGGAGGCAGCAGUAGGGAAUAUUGCACAAUGGGCGCAAGCCUGAUGCAGCGACGCCGCGUGAGGGAUGACGGCCUUCGGGUUGUAAACCUCUUUCAGCAUCGACGAAGCGAAAGUGACGGUAGGUGCAGAAGAAGGACCGGCCAACUACGUGCCAGCAGCCGCGGUAA
rnacentral:rRNA from 1 species